rnacentral:lncRNA from 1 species
AUGGGCUCGAUAAAGGACAGAAAUGGUCUGGACCUAACAGAAGCAGAAGAUAUUAAGAAGAGGUGGCAAGAAUACACAGAAGAACUGUACAAAAAAGAUCUUCACAACCCAGAAUAUCAUGAUGAUGUGAUCACUAAUCUAGAGCCAGACAUCCUGGAAUGUGAAGUCAAGUGGGCCUUAGAAAUCAUCACUAUGAACAAAGCUAGUGGAGGUGAUGGAAUUCCACUUGAGCUGUUUCACAUCCUGAAAGAUGAUGCUGUGAAAGUGCUGCACUCAAUAUGCCAGCAAAUUUGGAAAACUCAGCAGUGGCCACAGGACUGGAAAAGGUCAGUUUUUAUUCCAAUUUCAAAGAAAGGCAAUGCCAAGGAAUGCUCAAACUACCGCACAUUUGCACUCAUCCCACAUGCUAGUAAAGUAAUGCUCAAAAUUCUCCAAGCCAGGCUUCAGCAAUACGUGAACUGUGAACUCCCUGAUGUUCAAGCUGGUUUCAGAAAAGGCAGAGGAACCAGAGAUCAAAUUGCCAACAUCCGCUGGAUCAUGGAAAAAGCAAGAGAGUUCCAGAAAAACAUCUAUUUUUGCUUUAUUGACUAUGCGAAAGCUUUUGACUGUGUGGAUCACAAUAAACUGUGGAAAAUUCUGAAAGAGAUGGGAAUACCAGAGCACCUGACCUGCCUCUUGAGAAAUCUGUAUACAGGUCAGGAAGCAAAAGCUAGAACUGGACAUGGAACAACAGACCGGUUCCAAAUAGGAAAAGGAGUACGUCAAGGCUGUAUAUUGUCACCCUGCUUAUUUAACUUCUAUGCAGAGUACAUCAUGAGAAAUGCUGGGCUGGAAGAAAUACAAGCUGGAAUCAAGAUUGCCAGGAGAAACAUCAAUAACCUCAGAUAUGCAGAUGACACCACCCUUAUGGCAGAAAGUGAAGAGGAGCUAAAAUGCCUCUUGGUGAAAGUGAAAGAGGAGAGCGAAAAAGUCGGCUUAAAGCUCAACGUUCAGUUAACGAAGAUCAUGGCAUCCGGUCCCAUCACUUCAUGGGAUAUAGAUGGGGAAACAGUGGAAACAGUGUCAGACUUUAUUUUUGGGGGCUCCAAAAUCACUGCAGAUGGUGAUUGCAGCCAUGAAAUUAAAAGACACUUACUCCUUGGAAGAAAAGUUAUGACCAACCUAGAUAGUAUAUUCAAAAGCAGAGACAUUACUUUGCUGACUAAGGUCCAUCUAGUGAAGGCUUUGGUUUUUCCUGUGGUCAUGUAUGGAUGUGAGAGUUGA